AUUUAAUCCCCACGGCAACCCUAUGAGGGAGAUAUCACAUGCUCCCCUAUUGUACUAAUGAAGAAACGGCUCCCAGAGAGGAAACUGCUUGUCCAGGUCCUCCCAGCCAGCGAGCAGCAGGGUGGGAUUUGAUCUCAAGUCUGACUGGCCACCAGCUGGCCCAUUAAGCCCUGCACUAGGAUAUACCUUGUUUUCUAUGCUUCAUUGACUGAUUUUGAUCAUUUGCUUUUGGUGUGAACAGAUACAGGUGAUAGUGCACGUGUCCAUUCAUUCAUUCAUUCAUUCAUUCUUCACCAGAUGGGACUCAACGCUGUGCUUGCUGCCAAGCUCAUUGGGACCCCAGGUGGGCAUAACAUCCUCUUUGACCAUUUCUGAUAUGAAACAUCUAGUUCAAUGUUAGCACAACUCAGAACUCAGUUCCUGAGGCAGAUGGGAGCACUUUUUAAGAAGAUGGAAUUUUCUAACAACCAGAGCUAUCUCAAAAGUCAUAAGCUUCCUGCCCCUGGAAAUGUGCAAGCCGUGUCUGUCUGCAGAGCUGAAAUUCCUGCGUUCUCAGGAGGCUGGGCAAAUGCUAAGAUGGAGGUUCUGAAAUCUGAUUACUGCACCAAUCACUGUGGGAGAGAGUUAGUGAUAUAUCUACUCCCAGACCCGGAACUACACAGAAUCAAGAUCUAUUAAGGUGGGGCCCCAGAAUUUACAUUGUUUAACCCUCUCCAGGUGAAUCUCCUGAACAUAUUGCUCUACAUUCCCUUUUAAUCUGAGAUCCUAAUAAUAC
rnacentral:lncRNA from 1 species